CUUGACAGCACCAAUUUUCAACAUUGCAGCGUUCCCACGCUUCGGCAAUCUUCAUGUACUUUACAAUGGAUACCCAAGAUCUAUAGACCUUGGCCAUUUGAAUACAAAAGUCUGGCUUUGGACUUGCAACCCCUAUCAACUGCUGCCCAUGGCUCAGCUUCUGACAGACGGAAAGAAUUCAGUAGCUCAUAGUCAACAUGAAACCAUAUCAUCUGCCUAAUACGGGACAACAACUUGCUGUAACAAGAUUGCAAUUGACAGAGAGCACAAUGGAACAGAUGUACACAAUGCCCCACAUGGCACGCAUAGGAGAUGAUGCAAGUCACUCAGUGCACUUUCAUGUGUGUAUACUUCUGUAGGAUUCAGGUCUGAGUAUUUCUGCACUGACUGUAGUCAAUUAUUGCCAUAUACUGGCCCAUUUGGUGGCCAUUUCCCAUACGUAUACGUAUCUUUGUUUCAACAGGGCACUUUGCUUUUCUAAGAGAAAGUCUUAAAGGAAACUCGAACACAGCAAAACUGCAAUGCAGAUUUUUGCUGCUGUGGGAAUGUCUUCAAAACUGACCCAAAAUGAAAAGUCUAUCUGUCAU